rnacentral:misc_RNA from 1 species
AUUGCUCCAUUCAUGCCUAACCAGGGUCCCUUGAGCAAUUACUGUCAUGUUCAGGUCUUUUCCCCUGAGCCAAAGGAUACUUUCAUGAAGGCUUGGAUCACCUUUGAUGGAAGUCUACACCUGGAAGCUGCAAAAGCUCUGCAACAUAUCCAAGGGAAGGUACUUGCUGGUUGUUUUUUAUGGCAGAAAAUGCAGUGCCAGCAGGUUUUCCACAGUUCUGUAUCAUGCCCUGCUCCUGUUUUUCCAUUCAUUGAGAGGCAGCUAAACUCUAUACUCAAAAGGUUUAUGCAUCGACCUGGUGUGCAUUGCCGUUUAGAAAGGAAUGAAAAUGGCUCCUAUAGAGUGAAGAUAUCUGCUAAUGCAACAAAGAUAGUGGCAGAGUUGAGGAGGCCACUGGAGCAGCUAAUGAAUGGAAAGAUGGUAAAUCAUGGCAGCCUCACCCAAGCAGUUCUGCAGCAUCUUUUCUCCAGUGAUGGCAGAUUACUUAUGAAUUCACUGCAAAAGGAAACUGGAACUUACAUUCUCUUCGAUAGGCAGAACCUCAAUGUUAGGAUCUUUGGUCCAGAGAACAAAAUUGCUCUUGCUGAACACAAGCUCAUAAAAUCCCUUUUAGCUCUCCACGAUAACAAGCAAAUAAAUAUCCCUCUGCAAGGUGGGUUUAUGCCUCACGAUCUUAUGAAAAAAGUAGUUGAGAAAUUUGGACCUGACUUGCAUGGGCUAAAAGAGAAGUUCCCUGAGGCUACAUUUAUGCUUAACACAAGGCGUCAUGUCAUUUCUUUUAGUGGUAAGAGGGAUCUCAGGCCAAGGGUGGAGGAUAUAAUUCAUGAUUUUGCACGAUCCCUUUGUGUCAGUGGAGCUGCUGACCAACCUGAAUUUGAAGCUACUACCUGUCCUAUUUGCUUGUGUGAAGUUGAGGACUGUUACCAGCUUGAAGCAUGCGGACACAAGUUCUGCAGGUCUUGCUUGGUUGAGCAGUUGGAGUCAGCAAUGAGAAGACAUGAUGGUUUCCCUGUACGCUGUGCCCGUGAAGGUUGUGGGAUGCACAUUUGGCUCAUUGAUUUGAAGUCUCUUCUGCCAUGUGAAAUGUUAGAGGACCUUUUCAGGGCCUCUUUGGGGGCAUUUGUUGCAUCUAG